UACGUAGGGACCAAGCGUUGUUCGGAUUUACUGGGCGUAAAGGGCGCGUAGGCGGCAAAUUAAGUCAUCUGUGAAAUCUCCGAGCUUAACUCGGAACGGUCAGGUGAUACUGAUCUGCUAGAGUGCGGAAGGGGCAAUCGGAAUUCCGGGUGUAGCGGUGGAAUGCGUAGAGAUCCGGAAGAACACCGGUGGCGAAGGCGGCCUGCUGGGCAGCUGCUGACACUGAGGCGCGACAGCGUGGGGAGCAAACAGG
rnacentral:rRNA from 1 species